rnacentral:misc_RNA from 1 species
GGGCAGCAGUUAAGACCCCUUGUACUUCAGGAUCCAUGUAAAAGUGUGCAACAACGCCAAUUUUUUUCUCCUUGAGCACUUUGACAAGCUCUUUCACCGUAGAAUCGUUUGGGAACAAAUAUCUUGCCUGAGCUUCCGCAUAGCUUCCUUUUGCAUGAAUUCCAUCAGCAGUCACAACCAGAGAUGGAAACGGCUCAAAUGGCGACUUCCCUUCAAGCUCCGCAAUCAAAGCCUUAGUCCUCUUUUGCAUACUAAUCAAAACAUUGUACCAAGUAUUUACUCUCGAUCGCUCUCCACCCGUUACUCCCACAUUCAAAGCAGCCAAAUCAUCCGUCUUCAACCUCAGAACAUCCUCAGGCAUCGCACCAUCAAGAACCGAAACUAAACACGAACAAAACCCUUUAGAGAUCUCCGAAUCACUAUCCGCAGCGAACCUC